rnacentral:rRNA from 1 species
AGCGGACAGAUGGGAGCUUGCUCCCUGAUGUUAGCGGCGGACGGGUGAGUAACACGUGGGUAACCUGCCUGUAAGACUGGGAUAACUCCGGGAAACCGGGGCUAAUACCGGAUGGUUGUUUGAACCGCAUGGUUCAGACAUAAAAGGUGGCUUCGGCUACCACUUACAGAUGGACCCGCGGCGCAUUAGCUAGUUGGUGAGGUAACGGCUCACCAAGGCAACGAUGCGUAGCCGACCUGAGAGGGUGAUCGGCCACACUGGGACUGAGACACGGCCCAGACUCCUACGGGAGGCAGCAGUAGGGAAUCUUCCGCAAUGGACGAAAGUCUGACGGAGCAACGCCGCGUGAGUGAUGAAGGUUUUCGGAUCGUAAAGCUCUGUUGUUAGGGAAGAACAAGUGCCGUUCAAAUAGGGCGGCACCUUGACGGUACCUAACCAGAAAGCCACGGCUAACUACGUGCCAGCAGCCGCGGUAAUACGUAGGUGGCAAGCGUUGUCCGGAAUUAUUGGGCGUAAAGGGCUCGCAGGCGGUUUCUUAAGUCUGAUGUGAAAGCCCCCGGCUCAACCGGGGAGGGUCAUUGGAAACUGGGGAACUUGAGUGCAGAAGAGGAGAGUGGAAUUCCACGUGUAGCGGUGAAAUGCGUAGAGAUGUGGAGGAACACCAGUGGCGAAGGCGACUCUCUGGUCUGUAACUGACGCUGAGGAGCGAAAGCGUGGGGAGCGAACAGGAUUAGAUACCCUGGUAGUCCACGCCGUAAACGAUGAGUGCUAAGUGUUAGGGGGUUUCCGCCCCUUAGUGCUGCAGCUAACGCAUUAAGCACUCCGCCUGGGGAGUACGGUCGCAAGACUGAA